AGGUUGUGCACGCUCGAGUGCUCUCACACAUCCAUCUCACCCCUUUUGUGCAUCACCGCGUGGGCCCUCCUUUGCAGGAGGGCUUGCGUUUUCACAUAAAACUUGAUACAGUGUAGAAUGUUUUCUUUUCUUUUGCGGUCAAACGCAAUUAAUACAACUUUCAACAACGGAUCUCUUGGCUCUCGCAUCGAUGAAGAACGCAGCGAAAUGCGAUACGUAAUGUGAAUUGCAGAAUUCAGUGAAUCAUCGAAUCUUUGAACGCACCUUGCGCCCCUUGGCAUUCCGAGGGGCACACCCGUUUGAGUGUCGUGAAAUCAUCAAAACCUUUUCCUUUGACCCUCUUUUGGUCGGGAAAAGGAUUUUUGGACUUGGAGGUUCUAUGCUCGCUUUUGAAAGCGAGCUCCUCUCAAAUGAAUUAGUGGGGUCUGCUUUGCUGAUCCUUGACGUGAUAAGAUGUUUCUACGUUUUGGAUUUGGCACUGUCCCUUGGACGCCUGCUCCUAACCGUCUGUUGGACGACGAUGGUGCUUCGGUCACUGCCAUCUACAUUGGCGGAGGCUGGACCCAC
rnacentral:rRNA from 1 species